CUACGGGUGGCUGCAGUGGGGAAUAUUGCACAAUGGGCGCAAGCCUGAUGCAGCCAUGCCGCGUGUAUGAAGAAGGCCCUCGGGUUGUAAAGUACUUUCAGCGGGGAGGAAGGGAGUAAAGUUAAUACCUUUGCUCAUUGACGUUACCCGCAGAAGAAGCACCGGCUAACUCCGUGCCAGCAGCCGCGGUAAUACGGAGGGUGCAAGCGUUAAUCGGAAUUACUGGGCGUAAAGCGCACGCAGGCGGUUUGUUAAGUCAGAUGUGAAAUCCCCGGGCUCAACCUGGGAACUGCAUCUGAUACUGGCAAGCGUGAGUCUCGUAGAGGGGGGUAGAAUUCCAGGUGUAGCGGUGGAAUGCGUAGAGAUCUGGAGGAAUACCGGUGGCGAAGGCGGCCCCCUGGACGAAGACUGACGCUCAGGUGCGAAAGCGUGGGGAGCAAACAGGAUUAGAUACCCUCGUAGUC
rnacentral:rRNA from 1 species